AUGCCGCCCAUCCAAGACAAGCAUAGCUCUCGGGAGCUGCUCGAGGCUCAAGUUAACCUUUGGCACCAUGCACUGGGAUUCGUCAAGUCCAUGGCACUCAAAUGUGCGAUGGAACUGCAAAUCCCUAACACCAUCCAACACCAUGGUGGGUCUAUGACCCCGUCAGAGUUGGCCACAAAGAUCGGCCUCCAUCCGUCUAAGCUUCCCCGCUUACGGCGACUCAUGCGUGUGCUCACCAUAUCAGGCAUCUUUGCUGUUCAUGAGGCAGCCACGUCAAACAAGGAGAUUGUUUACGGGCUUACCCCAACCACACGCCUACUCGUCGGUGAUGAAGUUAAAUCAAACUUAUUUCCUAUUCUGUCUUUGAUGCUUGAUUCAACUGUCAUUGCCCCCUUUUUUGGCAUGCACUCAUGGUUCCUAGAUGAGCAUUCCACGUCGCUGUUCAAAAAAGCUCACAGCCUUAACUUUUGGGAGAUGGCUGAGCAGGAUGAUACUUACAACCAGAUACUCAAUAAUGCAAUGGUUUCGGAUAGUAACUUUCUCACGGACAUCAUCUUAAGGGAGUGUGGUGAUGUAUUUCUUGGCAUAAACUCUCUUAUUGAUGUUGGUGGAGGCCACGGUGGAGCUGCCAGGGCAAUUGCGAAUGCAUUCCCGCAAAUGAAAUGCACCGUGUUGGAUCUCCCUCAUGUGAUUGCAGAAGCUCCUAGUGAUGUCCAUGUGUCGUUUAUUUCUGGCGAUAUGUUUAAGUACAUUCCGCCAGCAAAUGCUCUUUUCCUAAAGUGGGUUUUUCAUGAUUGGGGUGAUGAAGACUGUGUCAAGUUAUUGAAAAAUUGCAAGGAAGCUAUUCCUCCCAGAGAUGCUGGUGGAAAGGUGAUAAUCGUAGAUAUGGUGGUUGGAUCUGGGCUAAAUGAGAUUGUAACAAGAGAGACACAUGUUUUAUAUGAUCUAUUUAUCAUGUGCGUUGAGGGGAUUGAGCGAGAGGAAUUUGAAUGGAAAAGGAUAUUCAUGGAAGCGGGAUUCGGCGACUACAAAAUUAUAUCAGUGCUGGGAGUUAGAUCUGUUAUUGAGCUCUACCCUUGA
rnacentral:rRNA from 1 species